GAUGAACGCUGGCGGCGUGCCUAAUACAUGCAAGUCGAGCGAACGGACGAGAAGCUUGCUUCUCUGAUGUUAGCGGCGGACGGGUGAGUAACACGUGGAUAACCUACCUAUAAGACUGGGAUAACUUCGGGAAACCGGAGCUAAUACCGGAUAAUAUUUUGAACCGCAUGGUUCAAAAGUGAAAGACGGUCUUGCUGUCACUUAUAGAUGGAUCCGCGCUGCAUUAGCUAGUUGGUAAGGUAACGGCUUACCAAGGCAACGAUGCAUAGCCGACCUGAGAGGGUGAUAGGCCACACUGGAACUGAGACACGGUCAAGACUCCUACGGGAGGCAGCAGUAGGGAAUGUUCCGCAAUGGGCGAAAGCCUGACGGAGCAACGCCGCGUGAGUGAUGAAGGUCUUCGGAUCGUAAAAAUCUGUUAUUAGGGAAGAACAGAUGUGUAAGUAAAUGUGCACAUCUUGACGGUACCUAAUCAGAAAGCCACGGCUAACUACGUG
rnacentral:rRNA from 1 species